rnacentral:tRNA from 1 species
GCCCGGGUAGCUCAGUUGGUUAAGCGUCUGACUUUGGCUCAGAUCGUGAUCUCUCAGUCCAUGGGUUCAAGCCCUGUGUCAGGCU